rnacentral:rRNA from 1 species
UUCGGGAGGCAGCAGUGGGGGAUUUUUGACAAUGGGGGCAAUCCUGAUCCACCCAAACCGCGUGAGUGAAGAAGGCCUUCGGGUUGUAAAACUCUUUCGGCUGGGAAGAAAUGGCACAGGCCAAUACCCUGUGUGGAUGGCGGUACCAGCAUAAAAAGCACCGGUUAACUACGUGCCAGCCAGCGGGGUAAUAAGUAGGGUGCGAGCGUUAAUUGGAAUUUCUGGGGGUAAAGAGAGGGCAGGCGGGUGGGUAAGUUAGAUGGGAAAAUCCCCGGGUCAACCUGGGGAAUGCGUUCCAGAGUGCCUGAGUAGAGUGAGGCAGAGGGGGGCGGAAUUUCACGUGUAGCAGUGGAAUAAGUAGAGAUAUGGAGGAACACCGAUGGGGAAGGCAGCCCCCUGGGUCGAUAUUGACGCUCAUGCACGAAAACGUGGGGGGCAAACAGGAUUAAAUACCCUGGUAGUUCCACGCCCUAAACGAUGUCAACUAGUUGUUGGUAGGGUUAAACAUAUUAGUGACGUAGCUAACGCGUGAAG